AGAGAAGCAAACCCGGAGAACUGAAACAUCUAAGUACCCGGAGGAGGAGAAAACAAAAGUGAUUCCGUUAGUAGUGGCGAGCGAACGCGGAUUAGCCCAAACCAAUAUUGUUUCGGCAGUAUUGGGGUUGUAGGACCACGAUAUUUGGUGUGUUAUGAAUUAGAAUACGUUGGAAAGCGUGGCCAUAGCAGGUGAUAGCCCUGUAUAAGUAAAGACCAUUACCGAUAGUGGUAUCCUGAGUAGCACGGGGCACGUGAAACCUUGUGUGAAUUUGGCGGGACCAUCCGUUAAGGCUAAAUACUCCUGAGAGACCGAUAGUGAACCAGUACCGUGAGGGAAA
rnacentral:rRNA from 1 species